UAAGUUAAGUAAGUAAGGGCGUACGGCGGAUGCCUUGGCCAUAUCAGCCGAAGAAGGACGCGAUAAGCUGCGAUAAGCUGCGGUGAGGUGCAAGUAACCAGUGACCCGCAGAUUUCCGAAUGGGGAAACCCGGCAGUAGUAGUACUGUCACCUCUCUUUGAGAGGAGGGCACCCGGUGAACUGAAACAUCUAAGUAGCCACAGGAAAAGAAAUCAACCGAGAUUCCGAAAGUAGUGGCGAGCGAAAUCGGAGCAGCCUGUGCGUGAUAGUCGAUUGGCUAGUGGAACGGUAUGGAAAGGCCGGCCAUAGAGGGUGAUAGCCCCUUACACGAAAGCGAAUCGGUGGUACUGAGCGUACGACAAGUAGGGCGGGACACGUGUAAUCC
rnacentral:rRNA from 1 species